GAAACCAACAAGAACAACAGAUCAAAAGGGAAGAAAUUACACGGGGAAGAGUAUGCAAUCAUCAAUGGACUGAACGGGGAAAGGAGCGCAAAAACAGCAAAACAAGGGAAAGAAAAAGUGAUUGAGCCUAUUGUGCCAAUAUCUUGCUACUACUCCGGAGCAGGCAGCGCGCCUCUGGUAAGACAGGGGAGGAAAUCAGCAGCAGCUCCUCCCCCACCACAGCACCCUCGUCAUGAUCCCAUCUUCCUCGCCGUCUUCUCCUUCAUCUUCGUCUUCCUCGUCUUCUUCCUGCUCCUGCAAUGCCAUGGCGCCUCCUCCUCUUCAACUUCACCGGCACGCUGACCGACUGUAGUGGGUGGGGAACCAAAUGGUGGUGGAAGAACAGGAUGCCCACAAGCUCAAGCUCUAUAUAGGGGGAGAGGUAUCACACAGUCGCUCACUCCCACACUCACUCACACUCUAUCCCUUGCUCACUCAGUGAAGCUUGGUGCCUUUCUUCCCUGCAGCUCGCUUUCUCCUCUCCGCCACCUUCUCUUCCUCCUUCCUCGUCCCUUUAUGCUUUCCCCCACCUUUGACGUGAGAGGAGAUCCUCCGCCUCCUCCUCCUCCUCCCACCCCGCCCUCCCCCUCACCUCAGGGCCGGUGGGCCCGCCCCAAGGCUCCUUUCCGUUAGCCUCGCUUCUUCGCCCUCACCUUCUUCUGCUCUUCCUCUUUUCACCCUCUCCUCCAUGCGAUGCGCCGUGCCCGCGGCUGCCUGCUACCUCCUGCUCAGCAAGAAAAGGCAAGUGCGUGUGAGCGUGAGAGGCUCCAACGGGAAGAAAGGAAAAGCAGGGGAAGCUAGCUAGGCCAGCCGUAGCCGUAGCCUGCUUUGGGGCGGCCAGAGCAACUUCUCAGAGGCGGAAAUGCUAAAGAAAUCGAAGGUGCUGGAUACAAGGAUGACAUGUACAAGACCUCGCUUUAGCCCAAAAGAUCAUACGCACAUGCACGCAGCAGGGUGCAGACGAGACACCACCAAAGCAUGGACGAGAGCUGGCUGUGAGCUUCGCCGGCCUGGUAUCCUCCUCCCUUGGUGCUCCUCGUCUUCCUCCGCCGCUGGCUGGUGGACACUCUCAAAGGUCUCAAGACGGCGCAGCUCCUUCCUUUCUCUCUAUAUAACUAGUGGCCUUUCUCUCUGUAGCUAGGCUUGCGAUUUCUUGUUUUGAAACGUCCAAUCCACACGGCCGGAACGAACGAACGAACGAACUGGUUCGGCUUCCCUUUCCUUUCCCUCCCAACCCUCCACUGUGACACUGAGCGGCUUAGACGAAAUUAAAUAGGGCGCCUAGAUCUGCGGCAGCGGCGG
rnacentral:lncRNA from 1 species